AGACAGAGGGUGCAAACGUUGUUCGGAAUUACUGGGCGUAAAGCGCGUGUAGGCUGUUGUGCGAGUCGGGUGUGAAAGCCCUGGGCUCAACCCAGGAAGUGCACUCGAAACUGCGCGACUUGAGUCUCGGAGAGGGAGGCGGAAUUCUGGGUGUAGAGGUGAAAUUCGUAGAUAUCCAGAGGAACACCGGCGGCGAAGGCGGCCUCCUGGGCGAGCACUGACGCUGAGACGCGAAAGCGUGGGGAGCAAACAGGAUUAGAUACCCCAGUAGUCC
rnacentral:rRNA from 1 species